UGGGGAAUUUUGGACAAUGGGCGAAAGCCUGAUCCAGCAAUGCCGCGUGUGUGAAGAAGGCCUUCGGGUUGUAAAGCACCUUUGUCCGGAAAGAAAUCCUUGGCUCUAAUACAGUCGGGGGAUGACGGUACCGGAAGAAUAAGCACCGGCUAACUACGUGCCAGCAGCCGCGGUAAUACGUAGGGUGCAAGCGUUAAUCGGAAUUACUGGGCGUAAAGCGUGCGCAGGCGGUUUGCUAAGACCGAUGUGAAAUCCCCGGGCUCAACCUGGGAACUGCAUUGGUGACUGGCAGGCUAGAGUAUGGCAGAGGGGGGUAGAAUUCCACGUGUAGCAGUGAAAUGCGUAGAGAUGUGGAGGAAUACCGAUGGCGAAGGCAGCCCCCUGGGCCAAUACUGACGCUCAUGCACGAAAGCGUGGGGAGCAAACAGGAUUAGAUACCCUGGUAGUCCACGCCCUAAACGAUGUC
rnacentral:rRNA from 1 species